rnacentral:rRNA from 1 species
GUGCCAAGCACCCGCGGUAAUUCCAGCUCCAAUAGCAUAUAUUAAAGUUGUUGCAGUUAAAAAGCUCGUAGUUGGAUUUCUGGACUAUCCUGGCGUCCGUUUUCCGGGCAUCAGGAUGGCUCCAUCCUUCUGUUAACGUGUGUUGGUACUUCGUGCUGGACACGAGCUCAGAUAUUUUACCUUGAGAAAAUUAGAGUGUUUCAGGCAGGCUUGGCCGGAAUAUAAAAGCAUGGAAUAAUAGAAUUGACACGACUCUGUGGUUGGCCAGGGAAGUGUAAUGAUUAAUAGGAACAGUUGGGGGCAUUACUAUUUAAUUGUCAGAGGUGAAAUUCUUGGAUUUGUUAAAGACUAACUGAAGCGAAAGCGUUUGCCAAGGAUGUUUUCAUUAAUCAGGAACGAAAGUUAGGGGAUCAAAGACGAUCAGAUACCGUCGUACUCUUAACCAUAAACGAUGCCGACUAGAGAUUGGAGGAGAUAAUCGAGCUCCUUCAGCAUCUAAGGAGAAAUCACAGUCUUUGGGUUCUGGGGGGAGUAUGGUCGCAAGGCUGAAACUUGAAGGAAUUGACGGAAGGGCACCACCAGGAGUGGAGCCUGCGGCUUAAUCUGACUCAACUCGGAGAAACUCACCAGUCCAGACAUUGUUAGGAUUGACAGGAUUGAUAAGCUCUGUCCUUGAUUCUAUGGGUGGGGGGGGAGG